AGUGAACGCUGGCGGUGGGCCUAACACAUGCAAGUCGAACGGCAGCACAGUAAGAGCUUGCUCUUACGGGUGGCGAGUGGCGGACGGGUGAGGAAUACAUCGGAAUCUACUUUUUCGGGGGGGAUAACGUAGGGAAACUUACGCUAAUACCGCAUACGACCUACGGGUGAAAGCAGGGGAUCUUCGGACCUUGCGCGAUUGAAUGAGCCGAUGUCGGAUUAGCUAGUUGGCGGGGUAAAGGCCCACCAAGGCGACGAUCCGUAGCUGGUCUGAGAGGAUGAUCAGCCACAAUGGAACUGAGACAAGGUCCAGACUCCUACGGGAGGCAGCAGUGGGGAAUAUUGGACAAUGGGCGCAAGCCUGAUCCAGCCAUACCGCGUGGGUGAAGAAGGCCUUCGGGUUGUAAAGCCCUUUUGUUGGGAAAGAAAAGCAGCAGGUUAAUACCCCGCUGUUCUGACGGUACCCAAAGAAUAAGCACCGGCUAACUUCGUG
rnacentral:rRNA from 1 species